rnacentral:pre_miRNA from 1 species
UCCGUUCAGCUGACCAUCAUCAGGUCAGGUAAACAAACAAAAUGUUUGUACCUGAUGAAGUUCAGUUGGACUGAA